rnacentral:tRNA from 1 species
AGAACUCUAGUAAAUUAAUUACAUAGCCCUGUCAGAGCUAAAUUAUAGACUAACCUCUAUGAGUUCUG